rnacentral:rRNA from 1 species
AGUGAACGCAGGCGGUAGGCCUAGCACAUGCAAGUCGAACGGCAGCACAGUAAGAGCUUGCUCUUACGGGUGGCGAGUAGCGGACGGGUGAGGAAUACAUAGGAAUCUACUUUUACGUGGGGGAAAACGUAGGGAAACUUACGCUAAUACCGCAUACGACCUACGGGAGAAAGCAGGGGAUCUUCGGACCUUGCGCGAAUGAAUGAGACGAUGUCGGAUUAGCUAGUUGGCGAGGUAAAGGCGCAACAAGGCGACGAUCCGUAGCUAGUCUGAGAGGAUGAUGCGCCACACUGUAACUGAGACACGGUCCAGACUCCUAAGGGAGGCAGCAUUAGGGAAUAUUGGAAAAUGGGCGCAAGCCUGAUCCAGCCAUACCGCGUGGGUGAAGAAGGCCUUCUGGUUGUAAAGUCCUUUUGUUAGGAAAGAAAAUCAGCAGAUUAAAAGCCCGAUGUUCUGACGGUACCCAAAUAAUAAGCACCGGCUAACUUCGUG